GUGAAUGUACCCAUGAGAGGAUUUCCAGAAUGUUUUGACUGGAGAAAGAAGACACACCCUGAAUGUGAGUGGUACCAUCCAGUGGACUAAGAUCUUGUGCUGAUUAAAAAGGGCUUAUGAGGAUCAAAGGAGGUGAUCAAAGGAUUUGAGGUCCUAAAGCAAUAGCGCCAGCAUCCUUCUGAGAAGAACAAAGACCACCAGAGAAAUCCUUCCAUUUCUACUCAGAAGAGAGGACAUGGGAAGAGAAAAUGGCACAGCGACCAGUGAAGAGAGGCCCCACCAACACCCAACCCAGGCCCCUUGAUGUUCAGCUAUCACCCUCCAGAACUAGCAGGAUCUCUUGCUGACACCAGAACUCACUACUCUGGGAGAAUC